rnacentral:lncRNA from 1 species
CAGUGUCCUUCAGAAUUGCAAUAAAAAAGGGAGAGAUUCUUCAGGUCAAACUCAGGAGAUUCAUUUCUGCCCAUGCCUUCCUGUUGUGGUUCUUCUUCUCUAUUUGUACCAACUAAUGUCUGUCAAGGGCUGGAAUUUGUACCAACUAAUGUCUGUCAAGGGCUGGAUGUUUUGCAGCAGUGCUUGGGACAAAUGUAGCUAAUUUUAGAUUUGAUUGCUAAUUGUUGAAGAAAUUUGUAUUCCACAUUUUGGGAUGGAAGGUGUAAAUCCUUGAUAUACUUAAUGCUAAACUAGAUGAAUUUUCAUGCCAAUUAAG